rnacentral:rRNA from 1 species
UACGUAGGGGGCAAGCGUUGUCCGGAUUUAUUGGGCGUAAAGAGCGUGUAGGCGGUUAGGUAGGUCCGUUGUGAAAACUCGAGGCUCAACCUCGAGACGCCGAUGGAAACCAUCUAACUAGAGUCCGGAAGAGGAGAAUGGAAUUCCUGGUGUAGCGGUGAAAUGCGCAGAUAUCAGGAAGAACACCCGUGACUAAGGCGGUUCUCUAGUACGGUACUGACGCUGAGACGCGAAAGCGUGGGGAGCGAACAGG